rnacentral:piRNA from 1 species
UGUGUUAGGUUUUCCUGCAAA